rnacentral:rRNA from 1 species
GAGUUUGAUCGUGGCUCAGAUUGAACGCUGGCGGCAUGCCUUACACAUGCAAGUCGAACGGCAGCACGGGAGCUUGCUCCUGGUGGCGAGUGGCGAACGGGUGAGUAAUGCAUCGGAACGUAUCCUGGAGUGGGGGAUAACGUAGCGAAAGUUACGCUAAUACCGCAUAUUCUGUGAGCAGGAAAGCGGGGGACCUUCGGGCCUCGCGCUCUUGGAGCGGCCGAUGUCGGAUUAGCUAGUUGGUGAGGUAAAGGCUCACCAAGGCGACGAUCCGUAGCAGGUCUGAGAGGAUGAUCUGCCACACUGGAACUGAGACACGGUCCAGACUCCUACGGGAGGCAGCAGUGGGGAAUUUUGGACAAUGGGGGCAACCCGUGAUCCAGCCA